UGCAUCAGGCUUGCGCCCAUUGUGCAAUAUUCCCCACUGCUGCCUCCCGUAGGAGUCUGGACCGUGUCUCAGUUCCAGUGUGGCUGGUCAUCCUCUCAGACCAGCUAGGGAUCGUCGCCUUGGUGAGCCGUUACCUCACCAACAAGCUAAUCCCAUCUGGGCACAUCUGAUGGCAAGAGGCCCGAAGGUCCCCCUCUUUGGUCUUGCGACGUUAUGCGGUAUUAGCCACCGUUUCCAGUAGUUAUCCCCCUCCAUCAGGCAGUUUCCCAGACAUUACUCACCCGUCCGCCACUCGUCAGCAAAGCAGCAAGCUGCUUCCUGUUACCGUUCGACUUGCAUGUGUUAGGCCUGCCGCCAGCGUUCAAUCUGAGCCAUGAUCAAACUCUUCAAUUUAAAAGUUUGAUGCUCAAUGAAUUAAACUUCGUAAUGAAUUACGUGUUCACUCUUGAGACUUGGUAUUNNNNNNNNNNNNNNNNNNNNCACUCUUGAGACUUGGUAUUCAUUUUUCGUCCGAGGACGUCAAGAAUCCGUAUCUUCGAGUGCCCACACAGAUUGUCUGAUAAAUUGUUAAAGAGCAGGUGCGACGCGGCUUUCAGCUCAUCGUCGCGAGGUGGCGUAUAUUACGCUUUCCUCUUUCAGAGUCAA
rnacentral:rRNA from 1 species